rnacentral:tRNA from 1 species
GGGCGGUUGGCGGAACAGGUAGACGCAAGUGACUUAAAAUCACUCGAGCGGAUGCUCAUAUGGGUUCAAGUCCCAUACUGCCCA